rnacentral:rRNA from 1 species
GAUGAACGCUAGCUACAGUGCUUAACACAUGCAAGUCGAGGGGCAGCAUGAAAGGAACUUCGGUUCUUUUUGAUGGCGACCGGCGCACGGGUGCGUAACGCGUAUCGAACCUGCCUCAUACUCGGGGAUAGCCUUGCGAAAGUAAGAUUAAUACCCGGCGGUCUCGGAUGGCCGCAUGACUAUCCGAGUGAAGAUUUAUCGGUAUGAGAUGGCGAUGCGUCCCAUUAGCUAGUUGGUGAGGUAAUGGCUCACCAAGGCAUCGAUGGGUAGGGGUUCUGAGAGGAAGGUCCCCCACAUUGGAACUGAGACACGGUCCAAACUCCUACGGGAGGCAGCAGUGAGGAAUAUUGGUCAAUGGACGAAAGUCUGAACCAGCCAAGUAGCGUGCAGGAAGACGGCCCUCUGGGUUGUAAACUGCUUUUAGUUGGGAAUAAAAAGAGGGACGUGUCCCUUAUUGUAUGUACCAUCAGAAAAAGGACCGGCUAAUUCCGUGCCAGCAGCCGCGGUAAUACGGAAGGUCCAGGCGUUAUCCGGAUUUAUUGGGUUUAAAGGGAGCGCAGGCGGCGGCGUAAGUCAGUUGUGAAAUCGUGCGGCUUAACCGUGCAAUUGCAGUUGAUACUGCGUCGCUUGAGUGCACACAGGGAUGUUGGAAUUCAUGGUGUAGCGGUGAAAUGCUUAGAUAUCGUGAAGAACUCCGAUCGCGAAGGCAUAUGUCCGGAGUGCAACUGACGCUGAGGCUCGAAAGUGUGGGUAUCANACAGG